rnacentral:rRNA from 1 species
GACGAACGCUGGCGGCGUGCUUAACACAUGCAAGUCGAACGAUGAAGCCGGAGCUUGCUCUGGUGGAUUAGUGGCGAACGGGUGAGUAACACGUGAGUAACCUGCCCUUGACUCUGGGAUAAGCGUUGGAAACGACGUCUAAUACCGGAUACGAGCUGGGACCGCAUGGUCACCAGCUGGAAAGAACUUCGGUCAAGGAUGGACUCGCGGCCUAUCAGUUAGUUGGUGAGGUAACGGCUCACCAAGACGACGACGGGUAGCCGGCCUGAGAGGGUGACCGGCCACACCGGGACUGAGACACGGCCCAGACUCCUACGGGAGGCAGCAGUGGGGAAUAUUGCACAAUGGGCGCAAGCCUGAUGCAGCAACGCCGCGUGAGGGACGACGGCCUUCGGGUUGUAAACCUCUUUUAGCAGGGAAGAAGCGAAAGUGACGGUACCUGCAGAAAAAGCACCGGCUAACUACGUGCCAGCAGCCGCCGUAACAC